rnacentral:tRNA from 3 species
GACCCAUUAGCUCAGUUGGUAGAGCACUUGACUUUUAAUCAAGGUGUCCCGCGUUCGAGCCGCGGAUGGGUCACCA